UCUAAUACCGGAUACUGAUCCGCUUGGGCAUCCAGGCGGUUCGAAAGCUCCGGCGGUGCAGGAUGAGCCCGCGGCCUAUCAGCUUGUUGGUGAGGUAGUGGCUCACCAAGGCGACGACGGG
rnacentral:rRNA from 1 species